GACGAACGCUGGCGGCGUGCCUAAUACAUGCAAGUCGAGCGGACCGGCUUGGGGCUUGCCUUGAUUCGGUCAGCGGAGGACGGGUGAGUAACACGUGGGCAACCUGCCCGCCAGACCGGGAUCACUCCGGGAAACCGGCGCUUAUACCGGAUAACAUCGAAGACCGCAUGGUCUUCGGUUGAAUGGCGGCCUUUGGGCUGUCACUUGCGGCUGGGCACGCGGCGCAUUAGCUAGUUGGUGAGGUAACGGCUCACCGAGGGGCCGAAGGGUAGCCGGCCGGGGUGGGUGAGCGGCCGCACUGGGAGUGAGACACGGCCCAGAGGGCUACGGGUGGCAGCAGGAGGGAUACGGGCGGAAUGGGCGGAAGACAGACGGAGAGGGGCCGCGGGAGGAUGGAGGGCCGUCGGGUCGGAAAUCUCUGUUGUGAGGGUCGAAGGAGCGUCGUUCGAAGAGGGCGGCGCAGUGACGGUACCGCACGAGAAAGCCCCGGCUAACUACGUG
rnacentral:rRNA from 1 species